AACGCUGGCGGCGUGCCUAAUCCAUGCAAGUCGAGCGAACAGAUGAGGAGCUUGCUCCUCUGACGUUAGCGGCGGACGGGUGAGUAACACGUGGAUAACCUACCUAUAAGACUGGGAUAACUUCGGGAAACCGGAGCUAAUACCGGAUAAUAUAUUGAACCGCAUGGUUCAAUAGUGAAAGACGGUUUUGCUGUCACUUAUAGAUGGAUCCGCGCCGCAUUAGCUAGUUGGUAAGGUAACGGCUUACCAAGGCAACGAUGCGUAGCCGACCUGAGAGGGUGAUCGGCCACACUGGAACUGAGACACGGUCCAGACUCCUACGGGAGGCAGCAGUAGGGAAUCUUCCGCAAUGGGCGAAAGCCUGACGGAGCAACGCCGCGUGAGUGAUGAAGGUCUUCGGAUCGUAAAACUCUGUUAUUAGGGAAGAACAAAUGUGUAAGUAACUAUGCACGUCUUGACGGUACCUAAUCAGAAAGCCACGGCUAACUACGUG
rnacentral:rRNA from 1 species